UUGCUCGAGUGGCGAACGGGUGAGUAACACGUGAGUAACCUGCCCUUGACUUUGGGAUAACUUCAGGAAACUGGGGCUAAUACCGGAUAGGAGCUCCUGCUGCAUGGUGGGGGUUGGAAAGUUUCGGCGGUUGGGGAUGGACUCGCGGCUUAUCAGCUUGUUGGUGGGGUAGUGGCUUACCAAGGCUUUGACGGGUAGCCGGCCUGAGAGGGUGACCGGCCACAUUGGGGCUGAGAUACGGCCCAG
rnacentral:rRNA from 1 species